rfam:Colletotrichum salicis strain CBS 607.94 Scaffold_54.1, whole genome shotgun sequence.
GAUCCUGAUGAUUAGUUUUUUUGUGCUUUGCACAGUUGGAAUUACCGGCUGAACACUCUUGUUGAAAACAACUGGCUGUUUCUGAUU